rnacentral:rRNA from 1 species
AACGAACGCUGGCGGCAGGCCUAACACAUGCAAGUCGAGCGAGGACUUCGGUUCUAGCGGCGGACGGGCGAGUAACGCGUGGGAAUGUGCCCUUCUCUACGGAAUAGCCCUGGGAAACUGGGAGUAAUACCGUAUACGCCCUUUUGGGGAAAGAUUUAUCGGAGAAGGAUCAGCCCGCGUUGGAUUAGGUAGUUGGUGGGGUAAUGGCCUACCAAGCCGACGAUCCAUAGCUGGUUUGAGAGGAUGAUCAGCCACACUGGGACUGAGACACGGCCCAGACUCCUACGGGAGGCAGCAGUGGGGAAUCUUAGACAAUGGGGGCAACCCUGAUCUAGCCAUGCCGCGUGAGUGAUGAAGGCCUUAGGGUUGUAAAGCUCUUUCAGCUGGGAAGAUAAUGACGGUACCAGCAGAAGAAGCCCCGGCUAACUCCGUG